GGAGUAGGAACAGUGCGUUAAGUACCGGUUGGAUGGGAGGUUGCCGCCGGGCGAAGGAGAUUUCGGUCUCCGCGGUACUGUUACCGCAACCGCCUG
rnacentral:ncRNA from 1 species